rnacentral:rRNA from 1 species
UACGUAGGGGGCAAGCGUUGUCCGGAUUUAUUGGGCGUAAAGCGCACGCAGGCGGUCUGUUCAGUUUGGAGUGACAGUUCCUGGCUCAACCGGGAAAGUGCUUCGAAUACUGGCGGACUUGAGGGCUUCAGAGGGACACGGAAUUCCGGGUGGAGUGGUGAAAUGCGUAGAGAUCCGGAGGAACACCAAAGGCGAAGGCAGUGUCCUGGGGAGUACCUGACGCUCAGGUGCGAAAGCCGGGGGAGCGAACGGG